rnacentral:rRNA from 1 species
GUGGGGAAUAUUGCGCAAUGGGGGCAACCCUGACGCAGCCAUGCCGCGUGUGUGAAGAAGGCCUUCGGGUUGUAAAGCACUUUCAAUAGGGAGAAAAGGCCCACGGUUAAUACCCGUGGGAGUUGAUGUUACCUAUAGAAGAAGCACCGGCUAACUCCGUGCCAGCAGCCGCGGUAAUACGGAGGGUGCGAGCGUUAAUCGGAAUUACUGGGCGUAAAGCGCGCGUAGGCGGUCUGUUAAGUCAGCUGUGAAAGCCCCGGGCUCAACCUGGGAACUGCAGUUGAUACUGUCAGGCUGGAGUACGAGAGAGGGAGGUAGAAUUCCAUGUGUAGCGGUGAAAUGCGUAGAUAUAUGGAGGAAUACCGGUGGCGAAGGCGGCCUCCUGGCUCGAUACUGACGCUGAGGUGCGAAAGCGUGGGUAGCAAACAGGAUUAGAAACCCCAGUAGUCC